AUUUCCUUUGGGAAAUAGCAAUCCCUGUUGUGGACUGCGCUAUCUCAAUUCCCAAAAAGUAAUUGAAUUUGCCAAAUCUUUAGUUUAAAAGUGACUGAACAAAUGCUAUUUGAGCUGAAUGAUCCCAUCAUGGUUAUUUCCUGUUAUAACUGUGUCAUCAACAUAAACUACCAGAUAAUACAUUUGCUACCGAAUGAUUAGCUCCACCCCUACUCAUUCCAACUGCUGGAACAUAGUACUGAACCAUCCAAAUCAUGCCCUUGGA
rnacentral:misc_RNA from 1 species